UACAGAGGGGGCAAGCGUUGUUCGGAAUUACUGGGCGUAAAGGGCGCGUAGGCGGCCUGUUAAGUCGAACGUGAAAUCCCCGGGCUCAACCCGGGAACUGCGUCCGAUACUGGCAGGCUUGAAUCCGGGAGAGGGAUGCGGAAUUCCAGGUGUAGCGGUGAAAUGCGUAGAUAUCGAGAGGAACACCUGCGGCGAAGGCGGGUUGCUGGGCUGAUACUGACGCUGAGGCGCGAAAGCCAGGGGAGCGAACGGG
rnacentral:rRNA from 1 species